rnacentral:rRNA from 1 species
UACGGGGGGGGCAAGCGUUGUUCGGAAUUACUGGGCGUAAAGGGCUCGUAGGUGGCCAACUAAGUCAGACGUGAAAUCCCUCGGCUUAACCGGGGAACUGCGUCUGAUACUGGAUGGCUUGAGUUCGGGAGAGGGAUGCGGAAUUCCGAGUGUAGAGGUGAAAUUCGUAGAUAUUCGGAAGAACACCAGUGGCGAAGGCGACUCACUGGCCCGUUACUGACGCUGAGGCGCGAAAGCGUGGGGAGCAAACAGG